rnacentral:tRNA from 4 species
GCCCGGAUGGCGGAACAGGCAGACGCAGGGGGCUUAAACCCCCCGGAGGGCAACCUCUUGCGGGUUCGAUUCCCGCUCCGGGCACCA